GGCAGCAAAAGAAUGUAACAAUGAGAAAGGAGCAAGUUCGUAAGCCAAAGGCAAAGAAGAAAAGCCAGAAAAAACAGGAGGAAUAAAAACAGAAGUUACAUGAUAAAGGCAAGAGAAUCUAAGGAUAAGUUGGAAUGUGAGCAUCGUGUGGAAGUUACCAGAAGAAUACAAGGUAGCAGAGUUCCUAACUCCAAGAACUUGCUCUGCAUGGGAAGGACAGGUGUAGGCUGCCAUUUCCACUUGGGUUAAUGAAGAACAGAAGAAGAGGAUAGAGCAGCAUCAGUGUAAUGUAGUGACAGAAAUGGGCUGAGGGAUCCCGUCAGGGAAGGUGUAUGAUCUCAGUCUCUG